rnacentral:tRNA from 1 species
AUUUUAAUAGCUUAUUUAGAGCAUGAUAUUGAAGAUAUCAAGGAGAUUUUGGUCUUAAAAUA